UGAGUGUGGAGCCCAUUGAAUUUGUUGAAAGCGGAAUAAUACGGUCAUAUAAAUAGUAGGGAAACGGAUAUUACCGGGGGCGUCUAAUUAAUCAGCCGUUUGCUUAUUUGGCAAAAUACGGAUUAGACUAUGCUUAGUCAAUAGCGUUUUAUAUGAAAAAGAACCUAUUUUUACCUGGAUGCACGGAGUAUUAUGCGUUUUCUUUUCUCAUUGGACUGUAAAUUACGCAUGGUUGAUAUUUUUUGCUCAUAUUUGGACGUCCACGUAUUCCUUUCGUCUUUUUAUGACUUGUGACUCAAUGAAAACUAUAUUUUGAAACACGUUUUUUUUAGUAGACCACCCAGGAUGAGUGAAGAUUUGAUUCGCCUUUAAAUGAGAUACUCUCCCAUCGCCAAUGCCACAAAACUGCGUCUUUUUCUACCAACCAAGCGCUGUAAAGAAACGCAAGACCCCAUCUCUGUGAAUACUGCGCGUGCUUCAUCAUCUCAUUCAAUUUGCUGUCAGCCAAGAGAGGGGCAACAAUAACUUUGAACGGUUAUUGUGUCAUAUUUCCUUCAGUCUCCGCAUCAUUUUCCACAGAUUCCAAGCGGGCAGCUGUUGCAGUGAAAAUCCAAGACUAACAAAGGAAAACAGAAGCCAAGA